rnacentral:rRNA from 1 species
CCCUUAGAUGUUCUGGGCCGCACGCGCGCUACACUGAUGCAUUCAACGAGUCUAAAACCUGCUCUGAUAGGGGUGGGUAAUCUUUUGAAUGUGCAUCGUGAUUGGGGUAGAUGAUUGCAAUUUUUCAUCUUCAACGAGGGAUGCCUAGUAAACGCAAGUCAUCAGCUUGCAUUGAUUACGUCCCUGCCCUUUGUACACACCGCCCGUCGCUCCUACCGAUUGAAUGAUCCGAUGAAUAUCAUGGAUUGAGGAUUAUAGCAGGUUCGCCUGUCUUGAUCUUCGAGAAGUGAAGUAAAUCUUAUCAUUUAGAGGAGGGAGAAGUCGUAACA